rnacentral:rRNA from 1 species
UACGUAGGGGGCAAGCGUUGUCCGGAUUUAUUGGGCGUAAAGAGCGUGUAGGCGGCCUGAAAGGUCAGCUGUGAAAACUCGGGGCUCAACCCCGAGACGUCGGUUGAAACCAUCUGGCUAGAGUCCGGAAGAGGAGUGUGGAAUUCCCGGUGUAGCGGUGGAAUGCGUAGAGAUCCGGAAGAACACCAGUGGCGAAGGCGGCCCGCUGGGCAGUAACUGACGCUGAGGAGCGAAAGCGUGGGGAGCGAACAGG